rnacentral:rRNA from 1 species
UACGUAGGUGGCGAGCGUUAUCCGGAUUCAUUGGGCGUAAAGCGCGCGUAGGCGGCCAGUUAGGUCGGGAGUCAAAUUUCGGGGCUCAACCCCGUCUCGCUCCCGAUACCGGCUGGCUUGAGUCUGGUAGGGGAAGGCGGAAUUCCCAGUGUAGCGGUGGAAUGCGCAGAUAUUGGGAAGAACACCGGCGGCGAAGGCGGCCUUCUGGGCCACGACUGACGCUGAGGCGCGAAAGCUAGGGGAGCGAACAGG